UAAAAUCAAAUGGCAGUUUUACAGUGUUUCAUUUAGAUCAUCUGUGGACAGAUGCUUUAUUGAAUAUCAGAUUAACCACCAGAGAAAAACACAUUUCCUGUCGUUUCUCCAAUCAGACCCGAAGUAUCGGAACAGAUAUGAACAAUUCUCCUUUUUUUUUUUUCCCAGACAGCAAUUUAGAAUAAUUAGGGUAAUUUAUACAUAAGGCUCUGGCCCAGACCUUAUAUAAUAGAUCUUGGAAAUGACCAUUAUCUUAAAGGUGACAUUUAAAUUAAAAACAGUGGCAGUGAGCAUAAAGUUUGAAAGCACAGGCUGUGCAGUCAUGCAUAGUGGCUCUGUUAGGAAUUUGUCUCUCCCACUACAUGUUUUGUAGCUUUAGAAAAGUUAUUAAUGUCCCUAAGCCUCCAUUUGCAAAACUGGAAUGAAUAUGAAAAGAUUGUUGAGAGAAAUACAAAUUUAAUCCAUAUAAAACCCUUUGUAUGAUAUCUGAAAUAGAAUAAGAAGAUAAAUAUUUCUUAUUAUUAAGCUGCCUUUGAAAUAAUUGCCUCGAAUGACACUGAGCCUGUGAUCUGAAUUUAGGUUUGCUGUAUACAUGUCUUAGAGGCAACUCUAAACUGAAAAAUAAAAAUGAGUAAAUCUGCAACAUCAAAUCUUUGAGCAUUUCUAUUGAUUUCAGUUUGGUAUGCUUAUGAAACUUUAGCUUACAAGCCACUUCCAGUGAAUGCUACUCUCAACUAAUGAUGUCAUCAUCGCAUUUCUUUAUCCUCUCACACCUGCAAGUUUUGCUUCCAAGCUAAACACCCACACUAUCUGCUGC
rnacentral:lncRNA from 10 species